rnacentral:rRNA from 1 species
CCUACGGGAGGCAGCAGUGAGGAAUAUUGGUCAAUGGACGAGAGUCUGAACCAGCCAAGUAGCGUGAAGGAUAACUGCCCUAUGGGUUUUAACCUUCUUUUAGCGAGAAAUAAAACGAUACCCGGUUGCCUGUUGGCAUUUACUUUCUAAAUAGGGUUCGGCUAACUCGGUGCCAGCAGCGGCGUUAAUACGGAGGAUCCGAGCGUUAUCCGGAUUUAUUGGGUUUAAAGGGAGAGUAGAUGGGUGGUUAAGUAAGGUGUAAAAGUUUGCGGUUCAAAGGGAAAAUUGCAAUUGAUACUGGCAGUCUUGAGUACAGUUGAGGUAGGCGGAAUGUGUGGUGUAGCGGUGAAAUGCAUAGAUAUCACGAAGAACACCGAUUGCGAAGGCAGCUUACUAAACUGUGACUGACAUUGAUGCUCGAAAGCGUGGGUAUCAAACAGGAUUAGAUACCCUGGUAGUC